AGACUGUGCGAUUGUAAACAACAGCUAAGCAGAAAUUCUUGUAAAAUAUGGGUCUACUCUUGAGAGGGACAGUGCUCUUCAUGAUCGGCAACUUCUUUGCCGUGUUUAUGAACCUGCUGCAGAUAAAUCGUCAAGGCAACGUGUCAUUGAAGAUGCCACCAGAGCUUCUAGAGAACCUCUUCCUGAAGGAAUGGUGGGUUCCACCCAUGUGUGGAGCCGCUGCAGUGUUGAUCGGACUUCUGUAUCCAUGCCUAGAUCGUCACCUGUCAAUCAGCAAUCCCGACUCCCACAAAGGGGAGUGGUCUAAGGUCAUGAGAUGUAUUGCCGUAUUCGUCGGAAUCAACCACGCCAGUGCUAAACUGGACUUUGUGAACAACAUGCAGCUCUCAAUGACCCUGGCAGCCAUGUCUAUAGGACUGUGGUGGCUGUUUGACCGCUCCCCCUGUGGAUUCGGCCUGGGGGUGGGGAUUGCAGUCCUGGCCACUCUAGUCACACAGCUUCUAGUCUAUAACGGUGUAUACAACUAUUCCAAAGCAGAGUUCCUGUUCGUGAGGUCAUGGUUGCCAUGCAUAUUCUUCUCAGGGGGUGUGACGAUGGGAAACAUCGGCCGACAGCUCGCAUUGUAUGAUGAAAGUCCAGCAUCUCCUACCAAGCCAAAGACUGAUUGAAGAAUCUGUGAUGUGUAGUUAACUUAUGGUUUUUACUCCAAAAAAAAAAAAGAUUGACUUAAUACCUCAGUGAACAAAGAAAAUCAUCAUGGAUUAGUUUAUAGCAAAGACUGUGAUAUUGGUCAAACUGAGUAUUGAAUCAUAGAGUAUUGAAUCCAGAAGGCACAAAACCUUGCACCGGUUUGGUCAGCCAAAAGCAGUAACUCCUGUGAUCCAAGUUAUGAAGUGAUGGAAGAGUUAUGGUUCUUUCCAUGUCAGCCGUGUUACUGUUGUAAAUACGUCAGUGUGAAGGUCGUUUGUGGUGUGGUGCUCAGAGCUAAAAUUAGUCAACAGUCGAAGACCAAGAGUAAACUUGCAGGUUUACCUCCAUAAUCAAAGAUGUUGACUUAAGUCCAGUAAUUUCGCACAUACAUAUAGCACUUAGCGAUGACUUGAACUUAAAGUGAUAACAUAGCUAAGGUGAUUUCACAAUACAUGUAUAGCUGAUAUUGACCACAACAGGCAUAUGCAAGAGUAUCAUUUUUUUUAACAAUGUAUUUUGAGCAAAGAUAGCUGAAGAAAUACAUAAUGUGGGAUGUGUUCAUUAUUUUAAAACAAAGUUUGUGUGAUUAAAAUGUUAGUGAGGAGUGAUAAAAUUGAAUGUUUAUUUUUUUUUGAAAUUGAAAACUGUUGAGUGUUCAAAAACAAGGUCUGGGUGGGGAAGAGGGGUCUACAAGAUUGUUCUUGUAACUCUAAGCAAAUCUUCAAUGUAAGUAAUUUUAUGGACAUGCUGUUUACAUCAUUAUCAGUACAGUAAAAUCCGCCAAGGACUGGCGAUUUUGCUUCGAUUUUGCUACGCUAAAAUUGAGCCAUACUGAGAUAGGUUUCAUGACAUGAUGGGUUGGGGUUACCACUAAGUAAAUGAAUUUAGGUCCUCAUUCUUUCAGCAAUGCAACAUCUCAUCAUCACAUCUCAAGAAAAGAUAAUGAAGAAAAAGAUAUAUGUUUAUUGUAAUUUUGAAGUAAAAAUAUAAUCAUUUUUUAUGUUUAAGUCAGUGGGUUGGUUGAUUGGCAGUUUUGGAAUUUUUUUUAAGAUAAAUG
rnacentral:misc_RNA from 1 species